ensembl:snRNA U6 U6 spliceosomal RNA
GUGCUCGCUUUGGCAGCACAUAUACUAAAAUUGCAACGAUACAGAUAUUAACAUGGUCCCUGCACAAGGAUGAUAUGCAAAUAUGUGUAGCGUUCCAUAUUUUU